rnacentral:rRNA from 1 species
UGAGGAAUAUUGGGCAAUGCCCGCAAGGGUGACCCAGCAACGCCGCGUGGAGGAUGAAUGUCGUAAGAUUGUAAACUCCUGUUAGAGGGGAAGAAUAGUACCGGUUGGACCGGUAUAUGACUGUACCCUCAGAGAAAGCCCCGGCUAACUACGUGCCAGCAGCCGCGGUAAUACGUAGGGGGCAAGCGUUGUCCGGAUUUACUGGGUGUAAAGGGCGCGCAGGCGGGAUAAAAAGUCAGUGGUGAAAUCCUACAGCUUAACUGUAGAACUGCCUUUGAUACUUUUAUUCUUGAGUUCGGGAGAGAGAGACGGAAUUCCAGGUGUAGUGGUGAAAUACGUAGAUAUCUGGAAGAACACCAGUUGCGAAGGCGGUCUCUUGGUCCGACACUGACGCUGAGGCGCGAAAGCGUGGGGAGCAAAUA